ACAUGCGACAUUUUCUUCUUAAAGAAUCACAACACUAUAAGACAGUUGAGGUUGCACAUUAUGGGGCAGCUAAAGCUAACUUUGAACGUGCAUUGAUGGGUAUUUGCCACGUGGAAUGGUUAAUAAUUAAGUGACUAAAUUGUA